rnacentral:lncRNA from 1 species
AUGCCUUGGCAUCCUACCCACCUGACUCAAAAAACUGUGUCUUGCACUUUGGCAGGAGCCAGAGGAAUGCUUGGUUACAUGAGGACGGGUAUCCUCUCUCUGAUUUUGUGUCCAGCGUUUCCAGAGAACACAGGAAAAUGCUUCUGUCAGGCUCCAUGGAAUUGCAGAUGGAGGCUCCAGUCUACAAAGCAUCAGACCUCGUGGAUGGUUGAUCAGGAUUAUAUGCUCUGAUAUUAUGUUUCUACCAGCUGAGAAGCCCUACAUCAGGUCAGUGAUGGUAAGGAGAACCUUGCAGGAACCUAAGGCACUUAGAUCUCUUCCUUUGCACCUCAAAACUCCUUAAAUCAAAACCUGUCUUUUUGUUCUACUGUAUUUUAUCUCCCCCCUUUCAAUUCUCCAAGUAAGAGAAGCUGUGUAUGGAUUUUCAGUUAAGAUAUAUGCAAAGGAGAUAAAAAAUGAUGUGAUUGAAUUGACAGGUGAAAAGUGUGUCAGUGUCACACAAGAAAUAUAAAUCAUGCAACUGUUUUCAGUGUAUAUAUAAUGGUACAAGUGACAGCAGAAGUUGGUUGAAAGAUGGAAAUUUCCUUAAUUUCAGUUGCCAGGACAAAUAGGAACAAAGGAAAAACACAUCAUACAGUUCUUGCCCUUCUGAAGAGCACUCAGCAAGGCAUUCAACAUUCAUUUCACUCUUGCCCAGAAAAACUGCUUCUCCAGAAGCCUUAAUUUUCUAGCAGGGCUGUGCUUUGUCUUGGAGCAUCAUAUUUAAAAAAGGAUUCUAAUACAGAAAUGAGGAAACGAUACUUCUAGGGACCUCCUGUUCAAUUUUCUUUUUCUCUGAAAAUUCAGUUAGACUUCUGUCAGCUGAAGGUACAUAUUGUUCAUCAGUUUAUUUCAUUUUCAAACUGAACAUUUGAAAGAGCAGCUAGGAGUUGUCUGCUCACUUUGCAGUCAGUGGAGGGAGAGAGAGGCACUGGCAGGAGUCACAUCAGCCCCCAGUCUGUGCUCUACCAGUCUCCUCCCCAGACAGAGGCAGCAGAGACAGCCCCCUUUAAGAAGAUUCCUGGCAUUUACACAGACAAGCUGAGGUUAAUCUCAUCUUAUUUGGAAAAGACAAGGAGGUUGCAAUAGAGAGAAACCCCCUACCAUAAGGCAUGCACUGAUGACAUUUUUUUUUUCACUUUAUUUGAAAAGCCUCUGGGCUUCACAGCUUGUUCUCCACAUUUCUUAGGGAAAAAAAAAUUAGAUGUUUUUGCAGGCUGGUUUACACAGGCAACAAACGUUGACACAUAAAAUAAAUUUCUGUUCCCCUAAACUAAAUUUAUCUGG